rnacentral:rRNA from 1 species
GGGGAAUUUUCCGCAAUGGGCGAAAGCCUGACGGAGCAACGCCGCGUGAGGGAUGAAGGCCUCUGGGCUGUAAACCUCUUUUCUCAAGGAAGAAGACCUGACGGUACUUGAGGAAUAAGCCACGGCUAAUUCCGUGCCAGCAGCCGCGGUAAUACGGGAGUGGCAAGCGUUAUCCGGAAUUAUUGGGCGUAAAGCGUCCGCAGGCGGCCUUGUAAGUCUGUUGUUAAAGCGUGGAGCUCAACUCCAUUUGAGCAAUGGAAACUACAAGGCUUGAGUGUGGUAGGGGCAGAGGGAAUUCCCGGUGUAGCGGUGAAAUGCGUAGAUAUCGGGAAGAACACCAGUGGCGAAGGCGCUCUGCUGGGCCAUAACUGACGCUCAUGGACGAAAGCCAGGGGAGCGAAAGGGAUUAGAUAC